ACAUAAUACUACAUGUAGACAAUGUUUCUUCUUUUUUAUCCCAGAGAAUUUAAAUAAUUUAUGAGGUUGAGCAGAUAAAAAGACACUGAGCUGGUUUGUUUCCUUCCUCCCUCCCUCCCUUCCUUCCUUCCUCCCUCCCUCUCUUUCUUUCUCUUUCUGUCUCUCUUUCCUUCCUUCCUUCUUCCUUUCCUUUCCCUUUCCCUUUCCUUUCUCUCACUCUGUCACCCAGGAUGGAGUGCAGAGGUGUGAUGUUGGUUCACUGCAACCUCUGCCUCUGGGGUUCGAGUUAUUCGUAUGCCUCAGCUUCCCAAGUAGCUGGGAUUAUAGGCAUGCACCACCACUCCUGCUAAUUUUUGUAUUUUUAGUAGAGACAGGGUUUCACUAUGUUGGCCAGGGUGAUCUCAAACUCCUGAGCUGAAUAGAUCCACCUGCCUCGGCCUCCCGAAGUGCUGGGAUUACAGGUACAAACCACCACACCCGGCCAACUGAGCUAGUUUUCUAAUAUGUCUAUUCUCUGGCAUGAUCACAGCUCACUGCAGCCUAUGCCUCCCAGGUUCAAGCGAUUCAUGCCUCAGCAUCCUGAGUAGGUAGGGUUAAAUGUGUGUGCCACCACACCUGGCUAAUUUUUGUGUUUUUUAAUAAAGAUGGGGUUCCACCAUGUUGGCCAGGCUGGUCUUGAACUCCUAGCCUCAAGUGAUCUGCCUUCCUCAGCCUCCCAAAGUGCUGAGAUAACAGGCAUGAGCCACCAUGCCUGGCCCAAUAAUGAUGUUCUUAUUCUCAUGUGCCUCCUAUACUGCUGCUCCUGAAAUGCUAACUAAUUUUAAAUAUUUGUGUACAACAAAUAUAGCUGUGGUUCAUGUUGUUUCUGUUGUAGAAAAAAAUAGAUUAUAUUACAUUCUUAAACCAAGUAGUUGGUAUAUUAUGAUUUUUGUACUUUUGAUUUUCCCAUUUGAUUGUCUUACUCUGUUAAUUAAAGGGAUUUAAACUUUUUUAAAAAAUUAGAUGACCAUGAUAAUAGUUGUUUUAAAAAUGCUAAUCCACAUUUGUAGUUCAUUAAAGGCAAUCAUGACAGCUCUGUCUGAGUCUUUGCCCCAGAUAUAGUUAUUGGCAUUUCUUCACGAUUUUAUUGCUUAGUUUUUUUAUUAUGACUGUAAUGUUUAGCAUAAAAAUGAUUCAAUCAUUACUUUAUAAGUAAACAGAUUUGUUUAAAGUCCAGUUUUUCUCAAAUGAAACUAUUAUGUUAAAACUAACCUUUUCAUAGUGAUUUAUUUCUACAGUUUUCUCUUCAAUACUUUCUAAAGAUAAAGUGCUUGUCUUGUUCAUUUAUAAAAUCAGGUAUGAGCAUAGAAUGGCAGCAAGCAAAAGAAAUACAGAUUAUGUCUGGUGAAGCCACUUACAUUUUCCUGUUGAUUCCUACAUUCUACUCAUAUCCACUUAAAAUCUAACUCUAAAAUGUCACACACUAUAUCAAUAAACAAAACUUUUUGUAAAACUCUUACAAUUUUUUGUCAUAGUUGAAAAAUGAUAAUCAGUUUUCCUAUAAAUUGCUUUGAAAAUAAAUUAUAUAUUUUUAACUCUAACAUCUGUUUUGAAGCAGACAAAUCACUUGCCCAAGGAAGGAAUUUCUCUUAAUUUUUUUCCAGGAAAUUUUUCCACACACUCAUAUAAAACUCUUAUUUAAAUAAUUGUGGCUCACAAUGUGUCUAGAAUAUUUCUUUCCAAAUUAGGUCUGCUUUGCAAAUAUUAAAUGGUAAUCUAUCCUCAUGUAGUUGUGAGGGAGAGAAAGUGGAAUGCAAUGUUGUAAACAUUGUUCAGCAAGUUACAUUUGUUUACUAUCACAUGCAUUAAUCUGGAAUAGUUUUAUUCUUUAUUCUCCCAUUUGAUUGUUAGAUUGUCAGUUGGUGUCAUUAAACUCACUGAAGGAUAGUGUUUGUCACAAGUUCACUUAAGCAAGAUGCCCAUAUUCUAGCUCUACAUUUAAAGUUGCUUCACUUCGUAGGAACUCGUUUUGCAUUUAUUAGGAAGAUUAGCAGGAAUUUAAAAAAAAAAUUUGUUUUGAAAUGAGUUCUCACUAUGUUGCCCACGCUGGCCUGAAAGCCCUGGUCUCAAGAGAUCCUGAUACCUUAACCUUCUGAGUAUCUAGGUCUGUAGUUAUGCACCACCACAUCCAGCUAGAUUUUUAUUUUUUUAGUAACUUUUUCUAUCAUUUGAUUAAUGGAGUCACUUUUAGUUUGCAACAAUCAUGUCAGUGCAAUUAAGGCAUCCAUUUAUAAAUGCUACAAACACAAUCCUUUUUAAAAAUUAAAUUUUGGGUGCCUAACUGUCAUUCGUGAAUGUGCUUCCUUAGCUAGAGUCAAAAGAUAAAAGCCUUGUUUUUUAAUUAAAUACUUUGGGUGGAUGUUUGGAAUGUAAUUGAGAUUUUUAUUUUAUUGAAGGCAACUUUUAAUUUAUUCUUUUGUUGAAUCAAACUAUAAUGUAUAGUGUUUUAAUUAGAGCAUAGUAUCAGUCAGUUAUGCUGUAGGUUUAAAAGAGUAAUGGGAGUAGCUUACAAAAUAUUAAUCUUAAGAACUCAAUACAUUCAAGCAUUUCAGAUUUUUAAAUAAUUUUAACCAAUUAUUUAAAUAAUUGGUUUUAAAUAAUUGGUUUCAAGUCAUGUACUAAUUUUAAGAGAUUGUUGUGAAUAUGGUAGAUAUUACCUGAAACAAGACAAUGAGAUAAAUGUUUCAGGCUUGAAUUCUGGAAAGUACAACUGAAUGUAUUUUCUUAGCUUGUGCAUGGGAAAAUUGUCUUUAAUAGCUCUAAAAUACGGGUCUGAAAAAUAUAGGUAUAUUUAAUAGGAAUCAUGAGAUUUAGUUUUCAAAAUUGAAUAUACACAGGAAAAUCUUAUCUUAAAAAUAAUCCAAGGCCGUGCAUGGUAGCUCAAGCCUGUAAUCCCAGCACUUUGGGAGGCCGAGACAGGAGGAUCACCUGAGGUCGG
rnacentral:lncRNA from 10 species